CCAGAGCUGCGGCCGCUGAAGCGCAGGCUUCCGUGGCUGUCUCGCGGACUUGCUGCCGAUUUUUGAGUCCCGCUUUCAGGGAUCACAAGCUCAGGGUAACACCGGCCCUGUGGGCGCAUCCAGCCAUCGACAGAUGCGAGCGCUAAAGAUGCGGACGAGGAACAGGGCAGCUCCGGGUUAAUGAGGGCUGGGGAUUGGAGCGUCUCAAAUCCAGCGCAGCCGUGGUCCGACAGAGGUCCCCGGGGUUCGGGCCGGCGGGGAUGUGCUGCCGGGCCCUGCCUUGGGUUGGAAAGUUCUGUGCGCCCCCAGCCUUUUCGAGCAGAGUCUCUGAGGCAGGGAUCUCGGCCCCUAGCCGGGCGGACUUAUUAGGGGCACUGGCUUGGUCACCCACGCCACCCAUUCAGCCCAGUUUUCUGGGCCGCCGCUAGAGCCAAACUGGUGUUGUGCCCAGUUGGCUUCUGUUUUAGAAGAAAAAUUCACUACGGAUAUGAGAUAUUAGAUCUCAGGCUCCUUGAGGACACGGGCCAGUUCUGCCUGUCUCAGCAUUCCCAGUGUCUUUUGUGGCACCUGAGCCUGAGAUGUUCCUAGUUAAUCCGGAACCCAGAGAACAGCCUUGGCCCAAUUACAGGAAUGAGGAAAACUUCAUGGGAAAUGGGGAGAAGAAGGUGAGGAAGUUGAAGCUAAGAAAAGUUAAGUGACUUGUCUAAUGGUAUUUUGUAAGCUGUAAAAGUGGGACCAGGACUCAGGUCAGGGAUCCUUGAACCAAAGCAGAAGAAUAGGAUGUCAGCAAGGGUGGUACAAUAGGAGGACCUCCACUCGUAUGCCCCCACAGCCCCUCCAGUAAUUUGGCAGCCAUCGAUGGACAGAAAUGCUUUGUGGGAUCCUGCUUUUGGAAUCCAGGUAGGAGGCUAUGAAACCCCAGUGGAGCCCAAGACUGAGGAGAGCCAUUUAGAGAGGGCAGUUGCACACUUGUGUGGCAGGCUCAUCAGCUGUGGUCCUGGUUACAGACUUAGAGACAGCCCUUUCCCCUGGUGGACUUGACUACAGCCUCAGUUGUCCUUGGUCCUGCCAAGGCCUUCUUCAGGCACCAUCUGCCAAGGGACCUGGGAGGAUCUACACCCUCCCAUGCCUUGAGUAAGAGGCCAGCUGACCUCAGUCCUGGAUGUGGACCAUGAAGCAGCCCAUGACCAGCUCCAGUCUCUCUUAGCCACGGCCUGGGCUCAGUCCUGCCUACUCAGGGACCCAGCAGGAGAUAUGCUCCUCUGUAUUCCUAGAGGCAGGCCUGCUGAAUUUGGUUCAAGGUCAAGGGUUGUGGAUCCUGAAGCACCUCUGUGACUUUGUUCAAGCCCAAACCAGCCCACCUAGUGACCUUCUCAGCGAAGCAGUAGGAGCCUUCCCAGGGACACGGUGGGAACCAUACCUUUCCACAUACCUGGAACAGGCCCAUCGCCAUUGGACCCAACUGCAGACCCUGAAAUGGACUCUUGUCUUAGCACUAGCCCUUCUGACCAAGGUCCUGGAGGCAGUCCCAUUUUCCUAGGAACUAGGAAGGAUCCACACUUGCCUCAGUUCCUGGUACCAGGCCUGCCAACUGCGGACUCCACUGUGGACCAGCAGCUGCCAUGUAACCUGGCUUCAACCCUGCUCAAGUACAGUACCAGAGACAAUCCCAAAACCAGUCCGUAAGGCCUCAAAGAGGUGUUUGCUUCUUCAAAUGCACAGAUGAAGACACCAACACUACAUGGAUCAUGAAAAAUCAGGUAAACACCAGAUAAUCAAAGGAAAGAAAUAAAAGUCCAGUAACCAACUCCAAAGAAAUGGAAAUCUACAAAUUGCCUGACAAAGAAUUAAAAAUAAUCAUCUUAAAAAGCUUAAAAAGAUGCAAGAGAACACAGACAACUAAGGAAAAUCAAGAAAACAAUAUAUGAACAAAAUGAGAGAUUUGGUAAAGAAAUAGAAACCAUAAAAAAGAACCAAACAGAAAUUCUGAAGCUGAAGAAUACAGUGACUGAACUGAAAAAACUGAAUUGAGAGCUUCAACAACAGACUUGAUCAUGUAGAAGAAAGAAGACAAGUCAUUUUAAAUUAGCAUGUUGACUAUAGUUAAUAAUACUCUAUUGUACAUUUGAAGUUUGCUAAAAGAGUAGAUAUUAUGUGUUCUCACCACAAACAAAA